rnacentral:lncRNA from 1 species
AUACAACGACACAAUAAAGCAAUGCCCGACAAAAUUGCAAUACCAGAUGAACGUUUUCGUCACAUUCACUUAGAUCUUAUCGGGCCGUUACCUGUCUGCAAAGGGUUUAGGUAUUGUCUUACUAUGAUAGACCGAUUUACGAGAUGGCCAGAAGCAAUCCCGAUUGCUGACAUUACAGCAGAGUCAGUAGCAAGAGCGUUUAUCGAGACAUAGGUAGCGCGAUUUGGAGUGCCUACGGUCAUCACUACGGACCAAGGAUCGCAAUUCGAAGCAGAACUGUUCAAAAAAUUGACCGAGCUAUUGGGGUGUUCGAGAACAAGGUCUUCACCAUAUCACCCUCAAUCAAACGGGUUGCGCACAGCUUAUAAAGAAGAUAUCAAAUGCUCGACGGCAGAAAUGCUGUAUGGUUCAACACUCAAACUGCCUGGAGAGUUUUUCGAGGACAAUCAUUUACGAGUUAAACCGGAAAUAUUCGUACAGGACCUAAGAGAGCGGAUGCGAAGAAUUCGCCCUAGAGAGGCAGCACAUCACGCAAAGAAUGUACCUU